AGUGAACGCUGGCGGUAGACCUAACACAUGCAAGUCGAACGGCAGCACAGUAAGAGCUUGCUCUUACGGGUGGCGAGUGGCGGACGGGUGAGGAAUACAUCGGAAUCUACUUUUUCGUGGGGGAUAACGUAGGGAAACUUACGCUAAUACCGCAUACGACCUACGGGUGAAAGCAGGGGAUCUUCGGACCUUGCGCGAUUGAAUGAGCCGAUGUCGGAUUAGCUAGUUGGCGGGGUAAAGGCCCACCAAGGCGACGAUCCGUAGCUGGUCUGAGAGGAUGAUCAGCCACACUGGAACUGAGACACGGUCCAGACUCCUACGGGAGGCAGCAGUGGGGAAUAUUGGACAAUGGGCGCAAGCCUGAUCCAGCCAUACCGCGUGGGUGAAGAAGGCCUUCGGGUUGUAAAGCCCUUUUGUUGGGAAAGAAAAGCAGCAGGUUAAUACCCCGCUGUUCUGACGGUACCCAAAGAAUAAGUACCGGCUAACUUCGUG
rnacentral:rRNA from 1 species